UUUCUUCUAUUCUUCUCUCUAUACGUUGGUGUUCUAACCAAUAAUCACCAAAGCGAUGUUCUGUCCGAUCGAUUCAGGAACCAUCUAACGGAUGCCAAAGUGUUGUACUUUGUGAAUUUCGUUAAACGGAAUCCAAAGUACUAUACUUUGUGAGUUCAUUAAAUGGAUACCAAAGUACUGUCUGAAUAAGACUAUACUUUGUGAAAUUUGUUAAGGUUCGAAUCUCGUGAUCAUCGUUAGGUUUGAUAUGAUAGUGAUCCUCAGCAGAGUUCCAGGAUCAGGAUCACGGACCAUCAUAGGAUCCUCAUGCUAACAAUUGCUUUCAUUAACUUUAAUGUUGUUUUGCAGGAAUGACUAGCAGGAUCCGCUCUUAGCAUCACAAUCAAGGGACGCGUCUUUACAACUUUGGCAUAUGCUUAAUCGGAGAUGAACGUUGUGAAGGAUAUGGAAACUUGGCAUGAUUUAAGGGCCAUAAUUUAGGCUAGAUUUACUUUUAUUUCUAAAGGGGUAAUGAGCUGAUUAUUAGUUUGUUUACCUAAAAUAGGCCACUCACACUUGUAUAUAUAACACUCUUCCCCAUUCGGAAGACACACAACACAAUUCUCACACGCUUAGACACACAUUACGAUAGUGAUCCUUGUACUCAGCUCAUUAUCAUCCGAAGUUGUAACCAUAUUUUGAUAUAUUGAAGUUGGUGAUCG
rnacentral:lncRNA from 1 species